UCGAACGGUAGUAUGGUGCUUGCACUAUAUGAGAGUGGCGGACGGGUGAGUAACACGUAGAUAAUCUACCCUUGUGUUGGGGAUAGCUUAUGGAAACAUAGGGUAAUACCGAAUACGGUCUUAGAAUCGAUAGGGUUUUAAGAAGAAAGGUGCUACGGCAUCGCACGAGGAGGAGUCUGCGGUAGAUUAGCUAGUUGGUAAGGUAAAGGCUUACCAAGGCGACGAUCUAUAGCCGGCCUGAGAGGGUGAACGGCCACACUGGGACUGAGAAUGGCCCAGACUCCUACGGGAGGCAGCAGCUAAGAAUCUUCCGCAAUGGACGAAAGUCUGACGGAGCGACGCCGCGUGAACGAAGAAGCAGAGAUGUUGUAAAGUUCUUUUAUCAGGGAGGAAUAAUGAGAGGAGGGAAUGCCUUUCAGAUGACGUUAACUGUUGAAUAAGCCCCGGCAAAUUACGUGCCAGCAGCCGCGGUAACACGUGAGGGGCGAGCGUUGUUCGGAAUUAUUGGGCGUAAAGGGCGCGUAGCGGUUCUGCAAGUCUGAUGUAAAAGUGUGGGCUUAACCCGCACAAGCGUUGGAAACUGUAGAACUAGAGUAGUUGAGGGGGAGCUGGAAUUCCUAGUGUAGAGGUAAAAUUU
rnacentral:rRNA from 1 species